CUGAUUCAAUCUUAUAAUGAAGGUAUCUAUAUUUAUGGAGCCUGAGUUACUUUUCAGUUUCACUAAUUUGGAUCAGGACUGUAUGUGUUGUGGUUGUGGGUGUUUAGUUUUUCGUGUUUCUGAUUUGCAACUGGUGCUUUGGUUACACACACAACUGCCAAUUUGGUGGUUUCUACCAAAGGGUUGAGUCUGAAUUUGGCAAUUAAGGGGGGCAGGGGCCUGACAGGUCCGGAAAUAGCCAAAUAUUGCUAGAAAUUAGAAUCAUUGCAAUGAUUGCACCAUCAAAUAUAUAUGGCAUUGUUUAAUUGAUUUCGGACGAAUAUUAUGCUUGAACUUUCUUUUACAAUUUUAAGAAUUGAUUAUUAAUUUAAAAUUUCGUGAUCUUUGAAUUUAGAGAUAAAAAAAAUACAGGCAAGUGCUAAGGAUCACUUCCAAAGGAUUUUUAAUGAUCAUGAAAAGCUUAAAUUGCAACUGGAGUCUCAGAAAAGUGAGCUUUCAAUGUUUAGGAAAUCCUACCUAAUGGCAUGUUUGAGCAAUUCAAUAUAUUUGUUGAAAUGUUAAUAUAUUACUGUUCUUGUUUGGUGCAUGUAUAAUUGGAAGAUUAAGAUUGCAUGUUUUAU
rnacentral:lncRNA from 1 species